rnacentral:lncRNA from 1 species
AUUAAUCAUUUGUUUUUCAUUUUUUUCAUGCUCAGGAAAGCUUUACCUGCCAAUCAAGGAGUAGAAAUGCUGCCACGUGACUCUCACAGCCUGACACAAUCAUUCACUCAUCACACAAGGACUGACAGUGAGGCCAACAAUGCAUGCUGUGCUUUGGAUACAAAGAGCAGUGCAAUCAUACAAAUGUCAAAUGCCAAAGAGGAGCACGUGGAAGCAGUGAAAGGCUUGGAGUGAAAGUGAUGAACAGUAAGGAGAAACUGCAGACAGCGAGCUAAGUAAGGGCUGAAGACCCAGAAGAGCUCUGCAUUGACUUCAGUGGAGCAAGACUUCUGUGUUUACACAUGAGAUGACCUGGAUGCAUGAUCCUAAAUUAACAAAGAGGUAAUACCCAUUCAGUUUUUAUCACAUUUGGCCUAACUAUAAAGGAAUUAUUUGUUUUGCUCUUCUUAAACAUUAUUGAGGCAACAAAUGAUUAUAUACAGUAUGAUAUAAAACGUUUUGCUCUAUUUUUA